GAUGAACGCUAGCGGAAGGCAUAAUACAUGCAAGUCGAACGGAUGUGGCAAUACAUUAGUGGCGCACGGGUGCGUAACGCGUAUGCAACCUACCUUCACCAGGGGGAUAACUACCCGAAAGGGUGGCUAACACCGCAUAAUACUACUGAAUGGCAUCAUUUGGUAUUUAAAUCCGCGGAGGCUGAAGAUGGGCAUGCGUCUGAUGAGCUAGUUGGGGUGGUAACGGCGAACCAAGGCGACGAUCAGUAGGGGAACUGAGAGGUUGGUCCCCCACACUGGCACUGAGAUACGGGCCAGACUCCUACGGGAGGCAGCAGUAGGGAAUAUUGGUCAAUGGUGGGAACACUGAACCAGCCAUUCCGCGUGCAGGAAGAAGGGUCUCUGACUUGUAAACUGCUUUAGCAAGGGAAGAAAAAGCUCAUGCGUGAGAAAUUGACGGUACCUUGAGAAUAAGCACCGGCUAACUACGUGCCAGCAGCCGCAGUAA
rnacentral:rRNA from 1 species